AGGAGAAGCCAAACUUGGUCCCCCGGCUCGCGGAGUGCCUGCGAGCGGUGCUCAUGGCGCUCUAUGAGCUCUUCUCUCACCCGGUCGAGCGCAGUUACCGCGCGGGGCUCUGCUCCAAAGCCGCGCUGUUCCUGCUGCUGGCCGCUGCGCUCACGUACAUCCCGCCGCUGCUGGUGGCCUUCCGGAGCCACGGUGAGCCUGCCCCGGCCGCUGUGCCACGAGGCUCCCCGGGCGCGCUCGGCCAGGGCCGGCCUCCCUAACCGCCUCCCUACCGCCCUCUUUAACUCAGGGUUUUGGCUGAAGCGGAGCAGCUACGAGGAGCAGCCGACCGUGCGCUUCCAACACCAGGUGCUGCUCGUGGCCCUGCUCGGACCCGAAAGCGACGGGUUCCUCGCCUGGAGCACGUUCCCCGCCUUCAACCGGCUGCAAGGGGAUCGCCUGCGCGUCCCGCUCGUUUCGUGGAGGAGAUAAUGCCUGUUGUGUACAGCAAGACAGUGGGUCAUUGUGUAUUUACAGAAGUGAUGUGGAUUCCUCCCAGACUCAUUAGUGACCAGGGCUGC
rnacentral:lncRNA from 1 species